rnacentral:tRNA from 1 species
UCCGUUGUAGUCUAGUGGCUAAGAUACUCGGCUAUCUAUCAAAAAAACACCGAUAUGCCGAGAGACCCGGGUUCGAUCCCCGGCAACGGAG